GACGAACGCUGGCGGCGUGCUUAACACAUGCAAGUCGAACGGAAAGGCCUGCUUUCCCUUGUGGAUUGCGGGUGCUCGAGUGGCGAACGGGUGAGUAACACGUGAGUGAUCUGCCCCCAACUUGGGUAUAAGCCUGGGAAACUGGGUCUAAUUCCCGAUAGGACUGCAGGGUGGUGCCUGUGGUGGAAAACGAUUUUCUAGUGGUUGGGGAUGAGCUCGCGGCCUAUCAGCUUGUUGGUGGGGUAAUGGCCUACCAAGGCGGCGACGGGUAGCCGGCCUGAGGGGGUGGACGGCCACAUUGGGACUGAGAUACGGCCCAGACUCCUACGGGAGGCAGCAGUGGGGAAUAUUGCACAAUGGGCGGAAGCCUGAUGCAGCGACGCCGCGUGGGGGAUGACGGCCUUCGGGUUGUAAACUCCUUUCGACCGCGAGGAAGCCGCCUGGUUGGAAGGGUGGUGACGGUAGUGGUAGAAGAAGCACCGGCUAACUACGUG
rnacentral:rRNA from 1 species